AGCAGUGUGUCUGGUGUUGUUAAUUGCUCCUGCAACUACACAAGUCAGUGGCAGAACUCCCAUUGAAUCCAAUCAUGCAGGAUCAGAUCCUUGUUGGAUAGUUACCUGGCAGGUGGAUCAGAAACAGAAUUGGAGCUAUUUUAUCUGGACCUAAUUAAACAACCUUCAUUACUGGCAGACACUUCUGCAUUUUCAGAAGUCUGAAGAGUGAGAUACUAUGGAAGAGGCUGUGCAUUAGAGUAUUUGUGGUUGGCUGGAAGCAGGAAAUACAUUACCAGAAAUUUUGCAGGAAAACCUGUUCUCACAAGAUAUCCAGCUAGAUAUCUAUUGUUGUACAG
rnacentral:lncRNA from 1 species